GAUGAACGCUGGCGGCGUGCCUAAUACAUGCAAGUCGAGCGAACAGAUGAGGAGCUUGCUCCUCUGACGUUAGCGGCGGACGGGUGAGUAACACGUGGAUAACCUACCUAUAAGACUGGGAUAACUUCGGGAAACCGGAGCUAAUACCGGAUAAUAUAUUGAACCGCAUGGUUCAAUAGUGAAAGACGGUUUUGCUGUCACUUAUAGAUGGAUCCGCGCCGCAUUAGCUAGUUGGUAGGGUAACGGCUUACCAAGGCGACGAUGCGUAGCCGACCUGAGAGGGUGAUCGGCCACACUGGAACGGAGACACGGUCCAGACUCCUACGGGAGGCAGCAGUGGGGAAUCUUCCGCAAUGGGCGAAAGCCUGACGGAGCAACGCCGCGUGAGUGAUGAAGGUCUUCGGAUCGUAAAACUCUGUUAUUAGGGAAGAACAAAUGUGUAAGUAACUAUGCACGUCUUGACGGUACCUAAUCAGAAAGCCACGGCUAACUACGUG
rnacentral:rRNA from 1 species